rnacentral:rRNA from 1 species
AUGCCUUACACGCUGGCCUGCUGGCACACGUCGUUCCCGACAAGCACGCACACUUCAACUCCUCCCCGCCAUCUCCUCACCAGCAACUCUAUCUUCGCACCCAUCCAUCUCGCGGCUCUUGCCAUGGAGGAUCGGCCGGGAAGCUCGUUGCCGGCCGUUCCUCGUCCGGUCCGGCCCCGUAGCGUCCAAGCGUCCUACUCGCCCCGCCGGCGCGUCCAUCCAUCCAACGCCCAGCUCCUCGUCUACCUAGCCCUCGCCGUCUCCUUGGCCGCACUCCUGGUCCUCACCGGCGUCACGCUCACCGUCGCGUCAGUCGUGCUCGUCGUCCUCGCCCCACUCUUGCUCCUCACCAGCCCUCUCUGGGCGCCGGUGACAGUCGUGGCCAUCGUCUCGGUGGGCGCCCUGCUGUUCGGCUGUAGCCUCACGGUGUUCGCGCUGGGAGCGGGCACGUGGGCGCACCGGCACCUGACGGGGCGGCACCCGGUGGGCGCGCGUCGGGUGGGCUACGCGCGUGGGCGUGGCCGGUUCGCCGGCGCCGGUGGCCACGCGACGGGCUACCACGGGCAGGUACAGGGGUACGAUCGGAUGAAGGACGCCGUGCCCGGGGCCUAG